rnacentral:ncRNA from 2 species
UUCGCUGCCACCUUCUGCCGCCUCAGGCAGGAUGAGUGCGUAGUGAUUAAAAGGGAAUCGGGUGAGAAGCCCGGACAGUCCCGCUGCUGUAAGCGUCUUAUUGCGGCAAGCACCAUGGUCACUGACAUUUUUUCGGGAAGAUCGCUUGCCAUGAGUUUUGCAUCUUAAAAGAAGAUGCUGGGAGGACGCAAGUCAGAAG